AGACUACAUGUACUUUUUCAGGGCAGUGAUGAUUAAAAGAUAGGAGUCUUCCUUUGCAGAUAGAGUCUUCCCCUUCCAAUAGCCACACUGCAGAAAAUGGAGGCCUUACCCGGGAAUCAAACACAAAGCUGUUCUUCUCCGUCCUUUGAAAGUUAAGACAAAAUGGAGUGCCUUGACAGGAAAGGGACAAAGAGAAAAAACGGUUUCAAUCUGCUGAUAAAACGAAUGUGAUCUAACCUUGCUAUCUGCUUCAGGAUGGUCUGAAUUGCAACCUAUGUGACACUGCAUAACAUUAAGAAAGCGAACAAAUGCAGAAUGGUUCUUCUGAAAUAUUACUACAGUCAGGAAGAAGAACCAUUUUCAGCAGCAAGUAUGAGACUAAAAUGAUGAAAGGACAAAAGAUGUGGAGAGAAGGAAGAGCUCAGAAGGAGAGCAUCCAGACCUCUGAUUCCUGUAGAGAUUCCGGUGACAUAAAUAAAGAAUCCAGAGUUGUUACAGCAGAAGCUCUCUAAGGGAGUGAUCAUCCCGGAGGAACUUUAAAGGGAUGCAUAUGUUUUGUUUUUUUUCCUUGACAACACAAUUCAUCUGCUAAGUAUUACAUUUCCAUAGCAACAUAAAUGUACUUAAUGAAACAACUCCUUUUUGCACAAAUGAAGGUUAAGGACUCCAGCUGCCUGAGUACGCUGAUGUAGAGAACUGCAUGAGCCCUCCCACACCAACUACAUGAAGGUCAACAUGUCAGGCGAAUGUGGAUGAAAGAGAUUAAGUUAUUUCUCAUGAAGUUUUCCCAGGAAUUUAAGCUAUCUUUUCCCCAGGUCCUUAGACAUUUAAACUGUGCUAAAACCCUAAGAUGUCAGCCUUGCUGGCAUAAGUCCAUGUACUGUGCAACAUAGUAGAGAAUGAGAAAUUCUCCUGAGGGUUUUG
ensembl:lncRNA